UACGUAGGGUGCGAGCGUUAAUCGGAAUUACUGGGCGUAAAGCGUGCGCAGGCGGUUCGUUGUGUCGGUGGUGAAAUCCCCGGGCUUAACCUGGGAAUGGCCAUGGAAACUGGCGAACUGGAGUGCGGCAGAGGGGGGUGGAAUUCCGCGUGUAGCAGUGAAAUGCGUAGAGAUGUGGAGGAACACCAGUGGCGAAGGCGACUCUUUGGCCUGUAACUGACGCUGAGGCGCGAAAGCGUGGGGAGCAAACAGG
rnacentral:rRNA from 1 species